GCACAAGCGGUGGAUGAUGUGGUUAAUUCGAUGCAACGCGAAAACCUUACCCACCUUUGACAUGUACGGAAUCCUUUAGAGAUAGAGGAGUGCUCGAAAGAGAGCCGUAACACAGGUGCUGCAUGGCUGUCGUCAGCUCGUGUCGUGAGAUGUUGGGUUAAGUCCCGCAACGAGCGCAACCCUCGUCAUUAGUUGCUACAUUCAGUUGGGCACUCUAAUGAGACUGCCGGUGACAAACCGGAGGAAGGUGGGGAUGACGUCAAGUCCUCAUGGCCUUUAUGGGUAGGGCUUCACACGUCAUACAAUGGUCGGUACAGAGGGUUGCCAACCCGCGAGGGGGAGCUAAUCCCACAAAGCCGAUCGUAGUCCGGAUCGCAGUCUGCAACUCGACUGCGUGAAGUCGGAAUCGCUAGUAAUCGUGGAUCAGCAUGUCACGGUGAAUACGUUCCCGGGUCUU
rnacentral:rRNA from 1 species